rnacentral:rRNA from 1 species
AACGAACGCUGGCGGCAUGCCUAACACAUGCAAGUCGAACGAGACCUUCGGGUCUAGUGGCGCACGGGUGCGUAACGCGUGGGAACCUGCCCUUAGGUUCGGAAUAACUCCCCGAAAGGGGUGCUAAUACCGGAUAAUGUCUUCGGACCAAAGAUUUAUCGCCUUUGGAUGGGCCCGCGUUGGAUUAGCUAGUUGGUAGGGUAAAGGCCUACCAAGGCGAGGCUCCAUAGCUGGUCUGAGAGGAUGCGCAGCCACACUGGGACUGAGACACGGCCCAGACUCUUGCGGGAGGCAGCAGAGGGGAAUAUUGGACAAUGGGCUAAAGCCUGAUCCAGCAAUGCCGCGUGAGUGAUGAAGGCCUUAGGGAUGUAAAGCACUUUUACCCGGGAUGAUAAUGACAGUACCGGGAGAAUAAGCUCCGGCUAACUCCGUG